rnacentral:rRNA from 1 species
GAUGAACGCUAGCUACAGGCUUAACACAUGCAAGUCGAGGGGCAGCGGGAUUGAAGCUUGCUUCAAUUGCCGGCGACCGGCGCACGGGUGAGUAACGCGUAUCCAACCUUCCGUACACUCAGGGAUAGCCUUUCGAAAGAAAGAUUAAUACCUGAUGGUAUGAUGAGAUUGCAUGAUAUCAUCAUUAAAGAUUUAUCGGUGUACGAUGGGGAUGCGUUCCAUUAGGUAGUAGGCGGGGUAACGGCCCACCUAGCCAACGAUGGAUAGGGGUUCUGAGAGGAAGGUCCACCACAUGGGAACUGAGACACGGUCCAAACUCCUACGGGAGGCAGCAGUGAGGAAUAUUGGUCAAUGGACGAGAGUCUGAACCAGCCAAGUAGCGUGAAGGAUGAAGGUCCUACGGAUUGUAAACUUCUUUUAUAAGGGAAUAAACCCUCCCACGUGUGGGAGCUUGUAUGUACCUUAUGAAUAAGCAUCGGCUAACUCCGUG